CUCGUAGGCGGCCAACUAAGUCAUACGUGAAAUCCCUCGGCUUAACCGGGGAACUGCGUCUGAUACUGGAUGGCUUGAGUUCGGGAGAGGGAUGCGGAAUUCCAGGUGUAGCGGUGAAAUGCGUAGAUACCUGGAGGAACACCGGUGGCGAAGGCGGCAUCCUGGACCGAUACUGACGCUGAGGAGCGAAAGCCAGGGAGCAAACG
rnacentral:rRNA from 1 species